GUGCGAGACCGAUAGCGAACAAGUACCGUGAGGGAAAAGAUGAAAAGAACUUUGAAAAGAGAGUUAAAGAGUACCUGAAACUGCUGAAAGGGAACCGAAUCGUAUCCAGUGUCUAUAAUCCAUGGCAUAUUUCAUUGGCGAGUGAGUGCGUGCAGCGUUUUGGAAGUGGUUUUCCGCUCCUGUCGUUGUUGUGCAUUUGCUUGCUGGUGCCCUGUGCUGUGGUGGGACGUCAGAGUCAGUUUGUGUGUCGCGGGAAAUGGUUAUUGGGGAGGUAGGUCGCUUCGGUGGCUAUUAUAUCCUGGUAACUAGUCGUCGUGGCUGAGACUGAGGUGCCUACAAUGUGCUUUCGAGUGUGCGGGUUUCUCGUGUGGCUGUUUGCUUUGAUAGCUUGCUAUGUUGGUGAAUAAGUUGUGCGAUUGAGACCUGUAUUAACUUGUUGCUGUUCGGGACUUUGA
rnacentral:rRNA from 2 species